ensembl:snoRNA small nucleolar RNA, C/D box 113-7
UGGAUCAAUGAUGAGUGUGCGUGGGGCAUCUGAAUAAUAUUUUUGAUUAAAACCCAGUCUGUAACUCUGAGGUCCAU